rnacentral:lncRNA from 1 species
AUGAAGGAACUUCUCUCCUUGGUUUGUCAGCUUGUUUGUAAAGGCGUGAAGCCUGCCAGGCCCACAGGCAGACCUCACUCCCUCUCUAGUCUCUCCCCAGCCCAGCCGGUGAUCAGGGAAGGCCUCAUGCCAUCCAGUCUGCUCUGUGUUCUCAGAGGUUUGACAGGAGCCGUCCCUUCAGGAUGCAGGUUUGUGUGGAGGGUCCAGCCAUGGUCUGCUGUUGGUAGCACCUCCGAACCCUCCUCACCGGCAUCCUGUGCUGUUGGGACAUACGUGACCCUGAACGGGGCUGCGACGUGGUCAGUCUGCUUCUCGUCAUCCCUGAUGCAUUUCCAUCUUGAGCCGAGGCUGCAGCCCUGAGUUCUUCUGCUGAGCCGUGCUGUCCCCGCUGGACGCCAGGAGCAGGUCUCAGAGCUGUGCCGCCUCAGGCCUGCCUGGGGCUGGCUGGGCUCCUGGGUCCCGUCCUGGUCAGUUCUCUUGCGCAAUGGGGCUGUGUACUGCUGGCCACAUACCUGUGAGGAUACAAUGGAGCUGUCCUACCCCCGCACAGCUGGCCUCUGUGGCCAAUGCAGGGCCUAUGUCCUCAUGGACUGCACCCGCGUCUCACUGACCGUACGACCAGAGACUACGUUGGCCAGCGUGGCCUGGAAGGCCCUCUAGCUGGGUCAGCUCUGACCCCACCCCCAUGCUCCCUCUCCCUGUAGACCCUCGGGUCACAGUGCACACUCGUCCCCACUCCUGGAUCUCCACCCAGCUCAGCCAGGAGGAAACCCUGGAUAAUUGGAGCUAAUGUUAGUCUGAUUUGUUUGGGGGUAUCCCUCAAGGCCCAUCCCCCUUUGUGAGACGCCCCGAGCAGCCAUCCUUUCCUGGGUCUGGCUGUCACCAGGCAGGAAGGUCCCUUAGAGCUCGAGGGGGCAGGGACCCUCGUCUGCUCUGGAGCAGUUUCUACCUGAAGGAAGAGCUGCCACACCAGCAGAAGCAGACGAGCAUGGAGAAGUUGCCUGGUGAAUGUAGACCUGGAGCGGAGGGAUUCAUCCACAGGGUCAGAGAGCUCUGACCACAGGGCCGGGGAUGGGUAGUCCCAACAGCAAGUUUAUCCAUUAAGAACAUAUGUUUGUCUAGUACAGAGACUCCUUAAAAAACUAAAAACGGGAAUGCCAUAUGACCUUCCAAUCCCACUCCUGGGCAUAUAUCUGGAGAAAAACAUACUUUGAAAAUAUAUAUGCACUCCUGUGUUCACUGCAGCACUAUUCAAAACAGCCAACCUAAAUGUCCAUCAACAGGAAUGGAUAAAGAUGUGGUACAUAUGCAGUGGAAUAUCA